rnacentral:misc_RNA from 1 species
AACGCACGAGACCUGCGGACCUGCGGAGGGAUCAUUAGUGAACGCCCUCACGGGCUUAUAACUAUUCCAAACCUCUGUGAACCGUGCCCUUCGGGGCUAUUUUACAAACGUGGUGUAAUGAACGUCAUAUAUCAUAACAAAACAAAACUUUCAACAACGGAUCUCU